AUGCAUGCUUUUACAGUAUGAAAAUUGGUGAUUUAUAAUAACUUAGCAAAUCGCAAAGUGAAAACAGGCGAUAAAUCAUUCAAGUUUCUGACCUAUCAGCUUUCGACGGUAUGGUAUUGGCUUACCGUGGCAGUGACGGUUAACGGGGGAUUAGGGUUCGAUUCCGGAGAGGGAGCCUGAGAAACGGCUACCACAUCUAAGGAAGGCAGCAGGCGCGCAAAUUACCCAAUUCUAACAGUUUGAGAGAGGUAGUAACAAGAAAUAACAAUACAAGGCAGUUAAAAUGCUUUGUAAUUGGAAUGAUAGAAAUUUAAACCCUUUUUAAAGUAUCAAUUGGAGGGCAAGUCUGGUGCCAGCAGCCGCGGUAAUUCCAGCUCCAAUAGCGUAUAUUAAAAUUGUUGCAGUUAAAAAGCUCGUAGUUGAAGUUCUGCUAAAAGUAACCGGUCUGCUUUGAAUAAAAGUGGUAUCUUGGUAUGUAUUUAGCAAUGAUGUCCUUUGAAGUGUUUUUUACUUUAUUGUAAUAAAGCAUAUUCAGGACUUUUACUUUGAGAAAAUUAGAGUGUUUCUAGCAGGCCAACGCUUUGAAUACUGCAGCAUGGAAUAAUAA
rnacentral:rRNA from 1 species